AAAGCGCGCGUAGGUGGUUUGUUAAGUUGAAUGUGAAAUCCCCGGGCUCAACCUGGGAACUGCAUCCAAAACUGGCAAGCUAGAGUAGGGCAGAGGGUGGUGGAAUUUCCUGUGUAGCGGUGAAAUGCGUAGAUAUAGGAAGGAACACCAGUGGCGAAGGCGACCACCUGGGCUCAUACUGACACUGAGGUGCGAAAGCGUGGGGAGCAAACAGGAUUAGAUACCCGUGU
rnacentral:rRNA from 1 species